UACGAAGGGCCCAAGCGUUAUCCGGAUUUACUGGGCUUAAAGGGUGCGUAGGCGGGCCAUUAAGUCAGUGGUGAAAGCUCCGAGCUUAACUCGGAAACUGCCAUUGAUACUAUUGGUCUUGAAUUCGGUCGAGGUUGGCGGAAUGUGUCGUGUAGCGGUGAAAUGCUUAGAUAUGACACAGAACACCGAUUGCGAAGGCAGCUAGCUAGACCGACAUUGACGCUGAGGCACGAAAGCGUGGGGAUCAAACAGG
rnacentral:rRNA from 1 species